rnacentral:lncRNA from 1 species
CUCCAGGCUCAUGUUUAGUACACACUGGUCCAGCCUUCCAUGCCUCUGUAUCCCCACAGUCACAAAAUCCACCUCCAGUGGAGCUAUGCAUCUUGUACCGAUGAUUCCUAUGAAUGCUAUUCUGGAAGCAGUCCAUACAGAGUACACAAGUUGGAUCAACUGCACAGUCUCUGCAAGAGUACGUUGUCUCCCCUCCUUUGAAC